CAGUGCUGGGUAGCUAUGUUCGGUCGGGAUAACCGCUGAAAGCAUCUAAGCGGGAAACCCACCUCAAGACUAGAUCUCCCGGGAGCAAUCCCCUAAAGACCCCCGGUAGACCACCGGGUUGAUAGGCUGGGCGUGUAAGGGUGGUAACAUCCUAAGCUAACCAGUACUAAUAGGUCGUGAGGCUUAACCAC
rnacentral:ncRNA from 1 species